CGGUAAUUCCAGCUCCAAUAGCGUAUACUAAAGUUGUUGCAGUUAAAAAGCUCGUAGUUGGAUUUCUGCGGGGACGGAGCGGCCGGACGCAACUUGCGUCUCGAGCUAGCGCUUUCCCCGCAUCCUGCCGCGAACCGUGCUACCAUUAGCUUGGUGGCGCUGGGGAUCGGCUCGAUUACUUUGAGAAAAAUAGAGUGUUCAAAGCAGGCCACACGCCUUGAAUAAGUUAGCAUGGAAUAAUGACUAAGGACUUUGGUUCUUUUCGUUGGUGUUCGGGACUGAAGUAAUGAUUGAUAGGGACAGUUGGGGCGGUCUGUAUUCCAAAGCGAGAGGUGAAAUUCUUAGACCUUCGGAAGACAAACAGCUGCGAAAGCGUUCCGCAAGGAUGUUCCCUUUGAUCAAGAACGAAAGUUGGGGGAUCGAAGACGAUCAGAUACCGUCGUAGUCUCAACUAUAAACUAUACCAGCUAGGGAUCGGCCAACGUUUAAUUAUUCGACUUGGUCGGCACCUUAUGAGAAAUCAAAGCAUCUGGGUUCCGGGGGGAGUAUGGUCGCAAGGCUGAAACUUAAAGGAAUUGACGGAAGGGCACCACCAGGCGUGGAGCCUGUGGCUUAAUUUGACUCAACACGGGAAAACUUACCAGGUCCAGACAUAGGAAGGAUUGACAGAUUGAUAGCUCUUUCUUGAUUCUGUGGGUGGUGGUGCAUGGCCGUUUUUAGUCGGUGAAGUGAUUUGUCUGCUUAAUUGCGUUAACGGACGAGACCCCAGCCUGCUAAAUAGCGCGGCCGAGCUUUGCUCGGUGCGAGCUUCUUAGAGGGACCAUGAUGCGCGAUAGCACAAGGAAGUUUGGGGCAACAACAGGUCUGUGAUGCCCUUAGAUGUUCUGGGCCGCACACGGGCUACACUGGCGCCUGCAACGAGCAUAUCAGCUGGCCCGAGAGGGUCUUGGCUAAUCUUUGGAACCGGCGCCGUGCUUGGGAUUGACCAUUGCAAUUGUUGGUCAUGCAACGAGGAAUGCCUUGUAAACGCGAGUCAUCAGCUCGCAUUGAAUACGUCCCUGCCCUUUGUACACACCGCCC
rnacentral:rRNA from 1 species